CCUACGGUGCGCUGCAGUGGGGAAUAUUGGACAAUGGGCGAAAGCCUGAUCCAGCCAUGCCGCGUGUGUGAAGAAGGCCUUCGGGUUGUAAAGCACUUUCAGUGGGGAAGAAAGCCUUGGGGCUAAUACCCUCGAGGAAGGACAUCACCCACAGAAGAAGCACCGGCUAACUCCGUGCCAGCAGCCGCGGUAAUACGGAGGGUGCGAGCGUUAAUCGGAAUUACUGGGCGUAAAGCGCGCGUAGGCGGUCUGAUAAGCCGGUUGUGAAAGCCCCGGGCUCAACCUGGGAACGGCAUCCGGAACUGUCAGGCUAGAGUGCAGGAGAGGAAGGUAGAAUUCCCGGUGUAGCGGUGAAAUGCGUAGAGAUCGGGAGGAAUACCAGUGGCGAAGGCGGCCUUCUGGACUGACACUGACGCUGAGGUGCGAAAGCGUGGGUAGCAAACAGGAUUAGAUACCCCUGUAGUC
rnacentral:rRNA from 1 species